UGAGUAAUGUCUGGGAAACUGCCCGAUGGAGGGGGAUAACUACUGGAAACGGUAGCUAAUACCGCAUAACGUCUUCGGACCAAAGUGGGGGACCUUCGGGCCUCACACCAUCGGAUGUGCCCAGAUGGGAUUAGCUAGUAGGUGGGGUAAUGGCUCACCUAGGCGACGAUCCCUAGCUGGUCUGAAAGGAUGACCAGCCACACUGGAACUGAGACACGGUCCAGACUCCUACGGGAGGCAGCAGUGGGGAAUAUUGCACAAUGGCCGCAGCCGAUGCACCCUGCCCGGGGUAGAAAAAAGCCUUCGGUCGGUUGUAAAGUACUUUCAGCGAGGAGGAAGGCAUUAAGGUUAAUAACCUUAGUGAUUGACGUUACUCGCAGAAGAAGCACCGGCUAACUCCGUGCCAGCAGCCGCGGUAAUACGGAGGGUGCAAGCGUUAAUCGGAAUUACUGGGCGUAAAGCGCACGCAGGCGGUCUGUCAAGUCGGAUGUGAAAUCCCCGGG
rnacentral:rRNA from 1 species